UGUAUUAACCCAAAAAGUGCCAUACUUAUUGUAGUAUAUAUACCUAUCAUAUCUUAGACUAUAGCUUCUCAACUUGCCUUCACUAAACCCUAUCUCUUUUUUCUCUAUUCAUUAUCCUCUCUCUCUCUCUCUCUCCUACCUUUAAUUUGCUUCUUAAUGAUGGUUUAUGAGUCGAAAUUAAGCUAGCUGUUUAUUUCUUGUUCUAUACCUCUUAAUUCGCCACCUUUUUAUCUAUCUAUCUAUCUAUCUGUCCAUCUAUCUGUCUAUUUAUCUAUCUAUCUGUCUAUCUAUCUAGGGUUUGUAGGAUUCUCUCGAGUUAUUAGAGAGGAUCCUAGCCUGUUAGUAUUUUGUAAUUUUUACUGUUACUAGACUGUUGAGUUAUUAUCAAAAGGAUCUUAGCUUGUUGUGGGAGAUAUGCAAUCGUUGUUUGCUGAUGCAGCAUCAUUAAGAUUCACAAUCCAUGAAGUUUGAGAGUUGGAUUGAUCCAUUAUAUGCUUUUGGAUUUGCGAAUCUUGAUGAUGCUGCAUUGGCAAUAGACGAUUAAUGAUGCUUAUGAAAGGUAGCUAGGGUAUGUGAAGAACAUCAUAGUAGAUGACUGAGACGUUUAAAGGAGUUGCCGAUUUUUACUUUUCUCAACUAUAUGGUAAGGGAUGAUUUAAGUUCAAGGAUCUUGAAAUUUCUGAACUUUUUACUAAAUUUCAAUGGUUUUUGUUAUGGGUGCUUUGCUUAAUUCCUUUAAUUUGAAACAAAAAAUAAUUAUACUAGCUAGGGUGUUUUCCCCUCUUUUUCAAGACAAAAAUAAUUCUACCAUAUCAUUUGGCGUAUCUAAAAAAUGACACAUCCACAUCGAUAUAGUUUUUGGGACGGCGUGUGCACAACAUGCGCGUUAUGGCAUGCGUAGGCAUGUGCAUACCACGCCCUACCAAUGUACGAUAAAAGUUCCGUUUUCUAGAUGCUCAAUUAUUUUACUCUAGGCUAGGGAAAAUCACUUGAUUAUUUAUCAUCAUUAUUUUUUUUAUAUUUUAUGCCAUAUGUUUGAAAGUUGUUAGAUACUAGAUUAAAUGUUGUUUCAAACAUAAAAACUACGUAAAAUGGAGCCUAAGUUAGAUACAUAUCAGUGUAUAUUUUAUUAAUUUGUAAUAAGUCUUAUAAGCUAUAUUAUAUAAGUUGUCUAGUUUUUAAUAGAGAUAACACUAUCAGCGUAUAUUUUUGUUAAUUUGUAAUAAGUCUUAUAAGCUAUAUUAUAUAAGUUGUCUAGUUUUUAAUAGAGAUCAAACCGGGGUAUUUAUUUUGUGUUAAUUCAUUUUAUAUCAUACUCAAGUGACAAUUCUUUCUCUAUCUUCAGGUUAGUAAGGAUCAUAUUUAAGUCAUUGCAAAUUGAUUGUUAAUAUAUAGAUUAAAUAUUUUUUCGCAUAUUAAUCAGUACUGCAAAGUUAAUUUAGGUCUGUUAUCAAAGAUGAUAUAAAUUUGUCUUGAAUACGAUCUCGACUGCAAUUAUAUUAAAGACUACAUAUACAACACAAGUUGCUUCAUAUAUAAUGUAUAAGUCCUCACGAUCUACGUACCAAUUGGGGUAUCCUUCACUAUUUUUAGGUUAGUAAGGGUCAUAUUCAAGUCUUUGCAAAUUUGUUAAUAGAUUGAACAUCUUUUCGGUUAUUGAUUAAUCCAAAGUUGAUUCAAUUUGGAUAUUAGAUAUGAUAAAAUUUUGUCUAUAGUACGAUCUCGACUACAAUAAUACUAAACUAAAGCUCCUCGAGUUUGGUAUCAUCGCUUUAGUAGUUUUUUGCUCCAAUCACGAGGGUCUGCGUGGGGGCAACGCCCCCUUAAACUUUUCGAUAUAUGUUAUUUAGAAUAUUGAUUUAGUUUUAGUUUUGAGUUUAGUCACAUCUAUUUAGGUCAGUUAGUGGGUAUUAUAUAAACCCUAUAAUUAGCUGUUGCAUGCCUACAUAUUCUGUAAUCUGUAUUCUCUUUUAAACCUAAAAAAAUAGUUACCCCUCAUGUGUGAACUUAGCAGCUUAGCUAACACAUGAAUUAGUGAACCAUAUUAAAUCACUGUGUCGAUUUUUCUUUAAUUCUUCGUCGACACUUUUCUACCCAAGUUGCUUUAAUUGGUAUACAAUGUAUGAGUUCUCUGCCAAGUGGGGAUCAUGGUAAGUCCUUGCCAAAUCCUAGGAAGAUUUACUGAGAGGAGCCUCUCCUUUUUACAAAAUGUAGUGGUACUGAAGUUUAAGUCCUCCGAUUGUCCCCCCAUCCCCACCCCACCAAUAAGAAGCAUAAUUUGGUGUGGGCUGCAGGUUUGCUGGCUUUAGGAGAAUUUAAACAGCUUCACAGCUAGCAAAUUGGUCCCUAUAUAAUAGUACUAUACUACUAUCACCAUCUCUAAAAAAUUAUUAUGUUCAAAUUGUUAUAUAUGCUUACUAUUCAAAGUUACAUUAUAUAUUCUCGAGGGAAAAUGCUGUCUUUUUCACCAUAUAACGUACACUCAUGUAACCAUCAGAUUGCAUAUAGAAAGUGUAUAAUUUGACGUUACGUUACAGGAGUGAAUCUUUCCUCUCUUGUGUUAUUGUUAAUUGUUAUGACGUCUUUUGAUGGAUUCAAAUAAAUGAGUAGGCAAAAAUGGCCAUACGAUCAUACAAUCCAAGCUAAGCUAAUAAGGUUGAGCGACGUGUUGUAUCUUUACCCAUAAGCCGAUUAUAAGCCCCUGCCUUGCAAGCUACGCAGGGUCGGGCCGGCCGGGCCGAACAUCCAACUGUAAAAAGGACCCAUUAAAUUGUCUUUCUCUUCUCAAAAUAAUCUCUAUGUAAGCUUUCCAACUCCAGUAUCUCUCUUAAUAGUAUAACUAACUUCUUUUUUGCUUGAAAACCUUGGCAUUAAACAAGUGAAGAUGGAGGUCAAACAUAACGGGAAACUUUACAUCAACGAUGUGAUACGUACUUACCUCCAAAAAAUUGGCGGGUACAUGUUUAUUGUGAUUGUCUCGAAUGGCGGCAGAGAUGCUAGUUGGCUAGUUAUGCUUAAGAGAUUAUUUUUGAUGAUGGUGGAAUAAAAGAAUUACAGCAGGUUUGUGGUGAAUCUUGAACAAGUUUGAGCACAGAUUUUGGCUAUAUCAUGUGUUAUCUGAACUUGUUAACGAUUCACCUUUAACAAAAAAAAAAACCAAUCAAAAUGACUAGCUAAAGUAUGAAUUUGUAAGAGAGGUCACUUGAGAUCCACUGAAGCAAAAGAACUGCAAAAAUGAGACAAGAUUUGUGCUAUCAGUGUGGAAUAUUGUGCGUCUCAUAUUGUGAGUGGAGGCAGGGCCGUAGUUGCGGGUGUGCGAAGAGCCCCUCUGCAUAGGGACCAUGGUCCAAAAUAUUUUGGAUUUAUCUGAGAGGGCCUAAUUUGCAAAAUAUCAUACUUUGUAUAAACGGCAAACGCUCUACAUCUUCGUCUCCGGACUCCAUAAUUCACGUUCGUUAUUCCCUAUCAUCUUGCUCAAUCUCUUUCACCAAAAAUUCAACCUUUCAUAUCUUUAACUUUAGUAUUGUCAUUAAUAUUUUUUUCAUAAUUAUCAAUAAUAAUAAAGUCAAUCCAUCAAUCA